UACGGGGGGAGCAAACGUUGUUCGGAAUCACUGGGCGUAAAGGGCGCGUAGGCGGCUUUAUAAGUGAGGUGUUAAAUCCUCGGGCUCAACCCGAGAACCGCACUUCAUACUGUUAAGCUUGAGUGCAGCAGAGGAGACUGGAAUUCCCGGUGUAGCGGUGAAAUGCGUAGAGAUCCGGAGGAACACCAGUGGCGAAGGCGGCUGGCUGGACCUGACCUGACGCUGAGGCGCGAAGGCGUGGGGAGCGAACGGG
rnacentral:rRNA from 1 species